rnacentral:sRNA from 1 species
UUUUUUUUGUGUUUUUGAA